GAACGAACGCUGGCGGCAUGCCUAACACAUGCAAGUCGAACGAGACCUUCGGGUCUAGUGGCGCACGGGUGCGUAACGCGUGGGAACCUGCCCUUAGGUUCGGAAUAACUCCCCGAAAGGGGUGCUAAUACCGGAUAAUGUCUUCGGACCAAAGAUUUAUCGCCUUUGGAUGGGCCCGCGUUGGAUUAGCUAGUUGGUAGGGUAAAAGCCUACCAAGGCGACGAUCCAUAGCUGGUCUGAGAGGAUGAUCAGCCACACUGGGACUGAGACACGGCCCAGACUCCUACGGGAGGCAGCAGUGGGGAAUAUUGGACAAUGGGCGAAAGCCUGAUCCAGCAAUGCCGCGUGAGUGAUGAAGGCCUUAGGGUUGUAAAGCUCUUUUACCCGGGAUGAUAAUGACAGUACCGGGGAAUAAGCUCCGGCUAACUCCGUG
rnacentral:rRNA from 1 species